rnacentral:lncRNA from 1 species
UGACUCACAGCCUCUCUGUGUCAAUAGACAGAGUCAGCCCAGAGUUAUGACUUCACAGAAAGAUGAAGCAAAAGCUGGGAGACGAGGCAGGACCAGCUUUAAAAGAAGGCUGUAAGCUCAGACAACAAGUAGCAAAAGAAACACUGACCACUCACAGGCUGGUGCUGAAAAAAAUGCAUUGUCCAUACUAAUGACAACCCACUGUGUACCUCCUCCCAUGCUCUCCAGCGGUGCAGCUUGUGGUGGUCAGUUGCCUGUUUUUCCUCGCUGUGAACGCUUUUAAUUAAAAGGAAGGGAUUCAGAACCUGCGGAUGUGGAGGGCCAGAGGGCUGAAUUUGCAAGUUGGGCAAUGGGGAAAGCCUUCACAAAGGAGAAAGCCUUUGGGCUGGAAUUGGAGGAGUAGGAGUCAAUAGAGAGAGAAGAGAGUAAAGGGCAAGGCCAUCAUUCCAGGUUUAGGGAGCAAGUACAAAGACACAGAGAAAUGAAAAGGCUUGGCCUGUUUGGAGAAUGUCAAGCUGUCUGGGGUUGAGAGAAAGACAUUCUAACAAGGCUUCCAUUAAAGAGGCUAGAUUUGCUGCUUGGACAUUUUCUAGCUCUUCUGAGACAACUUUUUGUUGAGUUAAGCGAAAAUGAAUGAAAAUCAGAUGGACCAUAUUUCUCUUGAAUGCACACGGGCUUAAAAACGAAGGGGAAAAAGAACUUGACAGAAUGUGUCUUGGCUUUUGCCAAACCCAAAGUAUUUGAAAAAUCACACAGUACACAUCUCGAACCCAAAAACAUGCCUGGAUUCUACCACCCCUAACUGCAGCUGCAGCCAUUUAAUAAAAUGAAUUGUGUACAAGAAAA